AUUGAACGCUGGCGGCAUGCCUUACACAUGCAAGUCGAACGGCCGCACGGGUGCUUGCACCUGGUGGCGAGUGGCGAAAGGGUGAGUAAUACAUCGGGACAUGUCCUGUAGUGGGGGAUAGUCCGGCGAGAGCCGGAUUACUACUGCAUACGAUCUACGGAUGCAAGCGGGGGACCAUCGGGCCUCGCGCCAUAGGGUUGGCCGAUGGCUGAUUAGCUAGUUGGUGGGGUAAAGGCCUACCAAGGCGACGAUCAGUAGAUGGUCUGAGAGGACGACCAGCCACACUGGGACUGAGACACGGCCCAGACUCCUACGGGAGGCAGCAGUGGGGAAUUUUGGACAAUGGGCGAAAGCCUGAUCCAGCAAUGCCGCGUGUGUGAAGAAGGCCUUCGGGUUGUAAAGCACUUUUGUCCGGAAAGAAAUCCUUGGCUCUAAUACAGUCGGGGGAUGACGGUACCGGAAGAAUAAGCACCGGCUAACUACGUG
rnacentral:rRNA from 1 species